ACAUAGGUUGCAAAGACGAUCAUGGAAUGGGAUGCCUUCAAAGCGGCCAGUUUCUACAGGGAGGAGGUGGUUGGCAGUGCGGAAUCUAAAGAUACUUUGGGACUCAUCUGGAUGAAUUUUAAUCAGGUCAGAGGCACUACUUGAGACAAUGACGGUGUCAUCUGCAUACAAUAGGACCAGAAGCUUAAGCCACAAUAUUGCAGUAUCUGGGUUGAUAAGUUCAACCCCAACAGAUCCAUUUAUAUGCAGGUUAGAGGCACAGUGUCUUCCCCCGGGGUCCCAGUGAGCUCCGCCCCGGUUAGGUGUGUUCCUGGAUCCAGAUGUGUCCCAUGCCUGUAUCGGUGGUUGAGGCUGCGAUGAGCCAAGCUGUUGAGCCGUUUUCAACUGGCGGUUUGGGGAAUCCCUGCGAGGUGCGUGUUGGGCCGUUUCCGACUGGCGGUUUGAGGGAUCCCUGCGGGGUGCGUGUUUUGCCGUUUCCGACUGGCAGUUUGGGUGGUCCCUGCUAGGUGCGUGUGGACGAGGAUUCCUCCUCCGGGAAGGCGAUGGCGAUUGUUGCUUUCGCGGAGUCCUGCGCUCAAACAAAGGGGAAGCAUCGCGCUGGCUACGCUCCUGCGACACAGUCUUGUUCGAGUCGUUGGACUGGGCACGAGGAGCCUGUAACAUGGCUGGCUGUGUGUGGGAUCUGUUUACAUAUCUAGCUGGAGCAUACUGAGUGUUUGUGAAAAAAUUGUUGUGCUUUGUAACACGGCUGCCUUGCAUGAUCGUAUCCCAGUUCGGAAAGGCAUCAGCGACAACGCGACCAUCUUGAAUGAUUUUGGCUGGAUAUAUUAUGCUGGCCUUGCUUUUUGGAUAUUCUUGGCGAAGGCGCUUGAACUGUGGCCAUAAUUGCUUGCGAGCAUCAACAAUCUCGCGUGGAUAAUCUCUAUUUAUGUGAAAAAGUGUUCCGCUGAGCUUGUUAGCAUUCGAGAGGAUGUGCUCAGUAUCACGGAAAUCCAGACAGUAUAUAAUGAUGGGUCGUGUGGAGCCGUGCCGGAAUUUCCCCAGUCUGUGUAUUCGGGGGAUAGAAGGACAGGGGUCGCUCUCAUGCUUCUCUCUCAAGAAAGUUGAUAUUUUAUGGAGACAAUUUUCAUCCCUGUCCUCUGGGAUUCCACUGAUUAGAAGGUUAUUUCGGCGACACCUAGCUUCGAGAUCUAUAGACUUGUACUCUAGUAGCUUAAUUUGCCGAUCAUGGUUAGACAAUGUUGUUUCCAUAGUGUUUACUUUGUUUUGCAAGUUCAGACAACUGUCAACUUUAUGAGAUAUGCCUUUCAUUUCCUGGAACAGCAUAGACAGCUUAGCAUCAAGUGAGAGACUCUCGUAGUCCGACAAUGUUUGAGACCGUUCGUACUCACUGUUACUGCUGCCCGUGUUUACCCGAGGCCGCUUUUUCUCUUGUAGCCGUUGACCAAGGUCCGCCAUUUCGACUGAAAGUCUCAUUGUCCAACACAUUAAAAUCGUUUCUGGUGAGAAAUUGUGAUCGAGCGUCCGAGUUUUGAUGUUCCAUGUUUGUGAAAUGCUGGAACUUACACUUGUACACACUUUAUCAUACCAUUAUUAAGUGUUCAUAACAUUGUUUUCGUUGUUUUUGCUAUUUUUUACUCUGUUAGAAAAAAAAACACGGUUAUCCGCGCACUCGACCGGAAGUCUACUCAACUAUCUACAGUCUACAGAACUAUCCAAAUUAUUCAAUCGUUUCGCGUUGCAACGUAGCUCACUUAAAAAUAGCUUAAGUGUAUGGAAAGCUAAUUACAUAUUUUUGACGUUAUAUACGCAAGUUUAGAGUUACUUUUAAAGUUAGUACACUAAUAUGAGAUUUAAUUCCCAGACACAUUAUUUUACGUAAA